UACGGGGGGAGCAAACGUUGUUCGGAAUCACUGGGCGUAAAGGGCGUGUAGGCGGCUGGAUAAGUGGGAUGUUAAAUCCCCCGGCUCAACCGGGGACCUGCAUCUCAUACUGUUCAGCUCGAGCACAUCAGAGGAGACUGGAAUUCCCGGUGUAGCGGUGAAAUGCGUAGAUAUCAUGAGGAAUACCAGAGGCGAAGGCGGCUACCUGGACAAUUGCUGACGCUCAGGCACGAAAGCGUGGGGAGCAAAAGGG
rnacentral:rRNA from 1 species